GGAGGUGUAGCUCACUGGCAGAGCAAGUAUUUAACAGGCAUAAGGCCCUGGGUUUGAUCCCCAGCACCACAA
rnacentral:tRNA from 1 species